rnacentral:rRNA from 1 species
CCUACGGGUGGCUGCAGUGAGGAAUAUUGGUCAAUGGACGAGAGUCUGAACCAGCCAAGUAGCGUGAAGGAUGACUGCCCUAUGGGUUGUAAACUUCUUUUAUAUGGGAAUAAAAUGUUCCACGUGUGGGAUUUUGUAUGUACCAUAUGCAUAAGGAUCGGCUAACUCCGUGCCAGCAGCCGCGGUAAUACGGAGGAUCCGAGCGUUAUCCGGAUUUAUUGGGUUUAAGGGGAGCGUAGGUGGAUUGUUAAGUCAGUUGUGAAAGUUUGCGGCUCAACCGUAAAAUUGCAGUUGAAACUGGCAGUCUUGAGUACAGUAGAGGUGGGCGGAAUUCGUGGUGUAGCGGUGAAAUGCUUAGAUAUCACGAAGAACUCCGAUUGCGAAGGCAGUUCACUGGACUGCAACUGACACUGAGGCUCGAAAGUGUGGGUAUCAAACAGGAUUAGAUACCCGUGUAGUC